rnacentral:rRNA from 1 species
AUUGAACGCUGGCGGCAGGCCUAACACAUGCAAGUCGAACGAGUGGCGGACGGGUGAGUAAUGUCUGGGAAACUGCCUGAUGGAGGGGGAUAACUACUGGAAACGGUAGCUAAUACCGCAUACCAUCGGAUGUGCCCAGAUGGGAUUAGCUAGUAGGUGGGGUAACGGCUCACCUAGGCGACGAUCCCUAGCUGGUCUGAGAGGAUGACCAGGCAAACUGGAACUGAGACACGGUCCAGACUCCUACGGGAGGCAGCAGUGGGGAAUAGUGGACAAGGGGGGCAAGCCGGAGGCAGCAAUGCCGCGUGUGUGAAGAAGGCCUUCGGGUUGUAAAGCACUUUCAGCGGGGAGGCGUUACCCACAGAAGAAGCACCGGCGAACUCCGUGCCAGCAGCCGCGGUAAUAC